CCUACGGGUGGCAGCAGUGGGGAAUAUUGGUCAAUGGGCGCUAGCCUGAACCAGCCACGUCGCGUGAAGGAUGACUGCCCUAUGGGUUGUAAACUUCUUUUAUAUGGGAAUUAAGUACAGUAUGUAUACUGCUUUCCCUGUACCUUAUGGUUAAGGCUCGGCUAACUCGGUGCCAGCAGCCGCGGUAAUACGGAGGAUCCGAGCGUUAUCCGGAUUUAUUGGGUUUAAAGGGAGCGUAGGCGGGUUGUUAAGUCAGUUGUGAAAGUUUGCUGCUCAACCGUAAAAUUGCAGUUGAUACUGGCAGCCUUGAGUACAGUAGAGGUAGGCGGAAUUCGUGGUGUAGCGGUGAAAUGCUUAGAUAUCACGAAGAACUCCGAUUGCGAAGGCAGCCUGCUGGACUGUAACUGACGCUGAUGCUCGAAAGUGUGGGUAUCAAACAGGAUUAGAUACCCGUGUAGUC
rnacentral:rRNA from 1 species